rnacentral:lncRNA from 1 species
AAACCAAGUACAUAAAUGACUUUUACGUUUGAUAUUUUCAUCUUAACAUCCGUAUAUCUUAAUCUUAUGUAAGUUAUUUUUUACAUUGUUGUUUGUAAAAAUUGUAAACAAUAAUUCACCUAGUUAAUGAUUUAUCUGGAUUUAUUGGUGAUAUAUAAGAAAAAGAAAGUCUAUCUAUCAAACAUAAACUUGCAGUUAAGGCUUUAAGUUCUAUGUUUUAAUAAGGACAGAACUUAGGUUCAUUCCUUAGGGUGAAUCUUUAAAUUUACUCCACCCUUUAAAACUAAUCAAAGUGACACAUAGAUUAUUAAUUAAAAAAUAUUAAAUUAAAUAAAAAAUAGUUACAAAAAAUAAAAACGCUAAUUUUAACGACGUUAACGCUUCAAGCUAAACUCUAAACCCUAAAUUUUAAAUUCUAAACCCUAUACCCUAAAUUCUAAACCCAAAUCCAAACCCUAAACCCAAACCCUAUACCCUAAACCCUAUACCCAAAAGCUAGACUAUAAACCUAAACUAUAUACCCUAAACCCAAGUCCUAGAUCCUAAACCCAAACCGUAAACCUUAAA